rnacentral:rRNA from 1 species
GAUGAACGCUAGCUACAGGCUUAACACAUGCAAGUCGAGGGGCAUCAGGAAGAAAGCUUGCUUUCUUUGCUGGCGACCGGCGCACGGGUGAGUAACACGUAUCCAACCUGCCCUUUACUCGGGGAUAGCCUUUCGAAAGAAAGAUUAAUACCCGAUAGCAUAAUGAUUCCGCAUGGUUUCAUUAUUAAAGGAUUCCGGUAAAGGAUGGGGAUGCGUUCCAUUAGGUUGUUGGUGAGGUAACGGCUCACCAAGCCUUCGAUGGAUAGGGGUUCUGAGAGGAAGGUCCCCCACAUUGGAACUGAGACACGGUCCAAACUCCUACGGGAGGCAGCAGUGAGGAAUAUUGGUCAAUGGGCGGUAGCCUGAACCAGCCAAGUAGCGUGAAGGAUGAAGGCUCUAUGGGUCGUAAACUUCUUUUAUAUAAGAAUAAAGUGCAGUAUGUAUACUGUUUUGUAUGUAUUAUAUGAAUAAGGAUCGGCUAACUCCGUGCCAGCAGCCGCGGUAAUACGGAGGAUCCGAGCGUUAUCCGGAUUUAUUGGGUUUAAAGGGAGCGUAGGUGGACUGGUAAGUCAGUUGUGAAAGUUUGCGGCUCAACCGUAAAAUUGCAGUUGAUACUGUCAGUCUUGAGUACAGUAGAGGUGGGCGGAAUUCGUGGUGUAGCGGUGAAAUGCUUAGAUAUCACGAAGAACUCCGAUUGCGAAGGCAGCUCACUGGACUGCAACUGACACUGAUGCUCGAAAGUGUGGGUAUCAAACAGGAUUAGAUACCCUGGUAGUCCACACAGUAAACGAUGAAUACUCGCUGUUUGCGAUAUACAGUAAGCGGCCAAGCGAAAGCAUUAAGUAUUCCACCUGGGGAGUACGCCGGCAACGGUGAAACUCAAAGGAAUUGACGGGGGCCCGCACAAGCGGAGGAACAUGUGGUUUAAUUCGAUGAUACGCGAGGAACCUUACCCGGGCUUAAAUUGCAGUGGAAUGAUGUGGAAACAUGUCAGUGAGCAAUCACCGCUGUGAAGGUGCUGCAUGGUUGUCGUCAGCUCGUGCCGUGAGGUGUCGGCUUAAGUGCCAUAACGAGCGCAACCCUUAUCUUUAGUUACUAACAGGUCAUGCUGAGGACUCUAGAGAGACUGCCGUCGUAAGAUGUGAGGAAGGUGGGGAUGACGUCAAAUCAGCACGGCCCUUACGUCCGGGGCUACACACGUGUUACAAUGGGGGGUACAGAAGGCAGCUAGCGGGUGACCGUAUGCUAAUCCCAAAAGCCUCUCUCAGUUCGGAUCGAAGUCUGCAACCCGACUUCGUGAAGCUGGAUUCGCUAGUAAUCGCGCAUCAGCCACGGCGCGGUGAAUACGUUCCCGGGCCUUGUACACACCGCCCGUCAAGCCAUGGGAGCCGGGGGUACCUGAAGUACGUAACCGCAAGGAUCGUCCUAGGGUAAAACUGGUGACUGGGGCUAAA